ACGGAGGAUUAGGGUCUGACUCCGGAGAGGGAGCCUGAGAAACGGCUACCACUUCUAAGGAAGGCAGCAGGCGCGCAAAUUACCCAUUCUCAGUACGAGGAGGUAGUGACGAAAGAUACCAAGGUGAGGCCCUAUGGGUUUCGCCAUUGGAAUGAGAACAAUAUAAAUCUUUUAACGAGUAACAAGUGGAGGGCAAGUCUGGUGCCAGCAGCCGCGGUAAUUCCAGCUCCACAAGUGUAUUCCUAUAUUGUUGCGGUUAAAAAGCUCGUAGUUGGAUCUGAGUGCUUAGCGGGUGGUACAGUGUUUCACUGUCACUUCUUCGCGGCACAUAACCGUCGACUGGCUGCUGUUGUUGCCUUCACCGGUGACGGCAGUUAGCUAUCGACAUGUUUACUUUGAACAAAUCAGAGUGCUCAAAACAGGCGUUUCGCUUGUAUGUUUUUGCAUGGAAUAAUAGAAUAGGACCUUGGGUCUAUUUUGUUGGUUUUCGGAAUCAAGGUAAUGAUUAAGAGGGACAGACGGGGGCAUUCGUACUGCAACGGGAGAGGUGAAAUUCUUGGAUCGUUGCAAGACGAACUACUGCGAAAGCAUUUGCCAAGAAUGUUUUCAUUAAUCAAGAACGAAAGUAACGGGUUCGAAGGCGAUCAGAUACCGCCCUAGUCGUUACCGUAAACGAUUGUAACCGGGAGCUAGCAGGCGCUUUACUAUGGCUCUGCUAGAACCCACCCGGAAACGAAGAGUUUUCGAUAUCCGGGGGAAGUAUACUUGCAAAUGUGAAACUUAAAGGAAUUGACGGAAGGGCACCACCAGGGGUGGAGCCUGCGGCUUAAUUUGACCCAACACGGGGAAACUCAUCCGGUCCGGACACCGUAAGGAUUGACAGAUUGAGAGCUCUUUCUUGAUUUGGUGGGCAGUGGUGCAUGGCCGUUCUUAGUUGGUGGAGUGAUUUGUCUGGUUUAUUCCGAUAACGAACGAGACUCUAGCCUACUAACUAGUUAUGCGAUCUUCUUGUCGUAUUAACUUCUUGGAGGGACAAGCGGUGCUCAGCCGCAUGAAAAAGAGCAAUAACAGGUCUGUGAUGCCCUUCGAUGUUCGGAGCUGCACGCGCGCUACACUGUAGAAUGCAACGUGCUAGCUUGCCUCGCUCGCAAGAGUGGGGUAAUCGGUUGAAAUUUCUACGUGAUUGGGAUAGGGACUUGUAAUUAUUUCCCUUGAACGAGGAAUCCCUAGUAAGUGCAGGUCAUCAGCUUGUGCUGAUUACGUCCCUGCCCUUUGUACACACCGCCCGUCGCUGCCCGGAACUGAGCCAUUUCGAGAAAAAUGGGGACUGAUUGCUUGUGAGCACGCAAGUGCUUCUUGCAGUCGGAAACCAUCUUGAUCGGUAUGGCUUGAACCGGGCAAAAGUCGUAACAAGGUU
rnacentral:rRNA from 1 species